rnacentral:misc_RNA from 1 species
AAUAAUUCUUCUGAAAAUGGAAAUAUCGAGGUGAUAUCUUAUCCAGAGUUGGUCAAAUUAUGUGAAGCAAUGGACUCAGAAGGGCUGCACAAAUUUAUAUCAGACAAUCGAAAGAACCUUGCUGUCCUGAGGGAGGAAAUUCCACUUGCUUUAAAAGCUGCAGAAAACCCAGCCCAACUGGUCUUGAACUCUUUGGAUGAUUUCUAUCCAAUGGAAGUGCCAAACUUUGAUGGAAAGAAAGAUUCAGGCCUAUUGGGU